rnacentral:rRNA from 1 species
UGAAUACGAGACGCUAAGGCGUUGAAGUAGUGUAUGUCAUACUUCCAAGAAAAGCUUGCACUGUCAUAGAUAAAAAACGCCUGUACCAUAACCGACACAGGUGGGUAGGUAGAGUAUACUAAGGGGCGCGAGAUAACUCUCUCUAAGGAACUCGGCAAAAUAACUCCGUAACUUCGGGAGAAGGAGUGCCUUAUUUAUAAGGCUGCAAUAACAAGAUCCAAGCAACUGUUUAUCAAAAACACAGGUCUCCGCUAAGUCGUAAGACGAUGUAUGGGGGCUGACGCCUGCCCAGUGCCAGAAGGUUAAAGAAGUUGGUUAGCAAUAGCGAAGCUGAUAACUGAAGCCCUGGUGAACGGCGGCCGUAACGAUAACGGUCCUAAGGUAGCGAAAUUCCUUGUCGGGUAAGUUCCGACCCGCACGAAAGGCGUAAUGAUUUGGAUACUGUCUCGGAGAGGGGCUCGGUGAAAUAGACUUGUCUGUGAAGAUGCGGACUACCUGCACCAGGACAGAAAGACCCUAUGAAGCUUUACUGUAACUUGAAAUUGAAAUUGGACUUUAUUCGCGCAGUAUAGGUGGGAGGCGUUGAUUGUAAUCUUGCGGGAUUAUUGGAGCCAUCAGUGAGAUACCACCCUUGUAAUGUUAGAUUUCUAACUUUGAAUCAUUAUCUGGUCAAAGAACAGUUUCAGGCGGGCAGUUUGACUGGGGCGGUCGCCUCCUAAACGGUAACGGAGGCGUACAAAGGUUUCCUCUGAACGGUUAGAAAUCGUAUCUAGAGUGUAAAGGCAUAAGGAAGCUUGACUGUGAGACCUACAAGUCGAGCAGGGACGAAAGUCGGUCUUAGUGAUCUGACGGUACUGAGUGGAAAGGCCGUCACUCAACGGAUAAAAGUUACUCUAAGGAUAACAGGCUGAUCUCCCCCAAGAGUUCACAUCGACGGGGAGGUUUGCACCUCGAUGUCGGCUCAUCGCAUCCUGGGGCGGUAGUACGUCCCAAGGGUUGGGCUGUUCGCCCAUGAAAGCGGUACGCGAGCUGGGUUCAGAACGUCGUGAGACAGUUCGGUCCAUAUCCGGUGUAGGCGUUAGAAUAUUGAGAGGAGCCUUCUUUAGUACGAGAGGACCGAGAAGGACAUACCUCUGGUGUACCAGUUAUCGUGCCAACGGUAAACGCUGGGUAGCUAUGUAUGGAGUGGAUAACCGCUGAAAGCAUCUAAGUGGGAAGCCCACCUCAAGAUAAGUAUUCUC